UACGGAGGGGGCUAGCGUUGUUCGGAAUUACUGGGCGUAAAGCGCGCGUAGGCGGCUUUGUAAGUUAGAGGUGAAAGCCCAGGGCUCAACUCCGGAAUUGCCUUUAAGACUGCAUCGCUAGAAUUGUGGAGAGGUAAGUGGAAUUCCGAGUGUAGAGGUGAAAUUCGUAGAUAUUCGGAAGAACACCAGUGGCGAAGGCGACUUACUGGACACAUAUUGACGCUGAGGUGCGAAAGCGUGGGGAGCAAACAGG
rnacentral:rRNA from 1 species